rnacentral:lncRNA from 1 species
AAAGAACACGGUUCCAAAGUCGCCACGUAACCCACCCUCACCGAUCGACGCAAUUUAUCAGUAGUUCACUACGUCUAUUCAAUCCAUAUCUCAUGUUCUCUUCUACUUCUACGCCUCCCUUCUACACAUCGACAUAUCCACCAAUUCCCCCAUCUCUUUUUACAACACAUCCGACUUUGUCCCCAAAAGGAAUCCGACCAUAUCAUCCACCCAAAAAAAAAACCUAAUUCGUUGUGCAAAUAUUCAACCAACUCAUUUAUGCCGAUUGUAGAUUGAUUGUUGGUCCUUGAUUCUUCAAAAAAAGGUUAUAUUUCAUUCGGUUUUCACUUAAAUUACAUCAUCCCCCAAAUAAGUCCUAAUUUUUAUCGUUUGAAAUUGGCUAUCUUGUUGAAUGCGGAGCCAAAGAGGAACGAUUCAAUCGUUCAUCUUCUACCACCAUGUUUGCUAUUGGUAUAUUAUCUUCACGAACCCUAAUUGAUUUUUGGCAAAUAUUUUUGUUCCUUCGCUUCAUAUUUCUCUGUCAAUCAAAACGAUAACACCGUCGACUUUCAAUUUUGGAAAACCCUCACUUUAAAUUUCCAGAUUAUCCGUCUUCAUUUAAGACGGUGGGUGGGUUUUCAGACGGCGAUAUCAAUUAUUUUUGAAGAAACUUUGUGCAACGCGUUUCAAUUCCAUCCAGAAACUAUAUGAACGGUCGGUGUUCCUUCUCCCGAUUGUCACAUACAUUUUCUAAAUAUGUCUUUGCAUUUUCAUUUUGUGUUGAUUCUCUAUGCUUUUGGGGUUUGUAGGAUAAUCAAAUUUGGAGAUAGCCAGAUAGGUUUUCGAUUUUUCUGAUGAACGUUCAUGAUUUCAUCCUGAUUUUCACUUCUUAUUUGCUAAUAUGGUCUAUAUCUCUCUCUGUUUCUUGAUUUUGAAAAUUCAUAUUUUUUUUUUUUGUGUCUAUUUUAGUUUUGCCGGUGAGUAUGGUUUUCUCAUUUCCAUGUUAAACCAGUUUGGAUUUGGGUUUCAAUUAACUAUUUUUCCUGCGAUGUUUAUAGGUUUAAUUUGAUUAUUAUUAUUUUUAGAAUUUUAGAAUGAUAAAAAGUUAAAAACUUUCAAGUGGUGGUUGCUGUACUUUCAAAAAAACAUAAUAAAGUUAAUAACAAUUUUUUUUUCAUGUGAUUCGAUAUUACGAUCUUGGGUUUUAAUUAUUGGACCAAUAAUUCACCAUCACAAUUUUGUUUUCUGAUUUUGAUUUCCCAUGUUCAAUUUGUAUUUUCUCAACAUAUCCAUAUGUAGUAUGUCACUUUCUUAAAAAUGUUUGGUGAUGAAUUUUAUAUUGUUUGUACAUGUACUGUUGUUUUCUUGAAAUGUUAAUGUUAUUAAAUUUCUAAUUGAUUGUGUUUAGGUUUUUCUUUGUGUCGUGUGAAUGAUAGAAACUGAUAUUGACUUCAAUUUCAAAGAAGUGGAAGCCCAACUUAGGGUAAUGUUUUCCCUUCGUUUUUUUUUCCUUGAUGGAUCACGCUCAUUCUUGUUUAAUCUUUUAGCCUGAUAUGCUUAAUGAGUGAAUUAGCGAUAACACUUUCAUGUGUCUACAACUAAAAGAUACACAAAAUGAAGCCUAAAGUCCCAUUAUUCAGUUACUCUUUUUUUCUUCUCUGUUUCAACUAUUCAAAAAAACAUUUGUACUUCUCUCAGAUUUUGUGUUGUACGUAAUCAUCUGUCCAUAAGCAGUAUAUUUCACCCGCUUAUGAUGAUUUAGGGUUUACAAUUAUGAUUACAGUUUUGAAGGAGCGUGUAUUAUUAAUAAAUAUUUUGAUGUAUUUUUACUAACUUUAUUUCGUGAUUCUUUUGAAUAUAUAAAUGAAAUGUAAAUUUUUAUUGUUUUUGUCAUUAGGAAUUCGCAAGAUUGGUAAGCAUUUUUUUAAAGCAUAUCAUACCAAUUUUUUUUCAUGUUAUACUUAACCUGAAAUUCAAAGUAACUUGCUUAACAUUCAAACUAAUUGUCGUUUUUUUUUCUUAUUGCAGGAGUAGUGAGUACAAGUAAUAUAGAGAAUGUUUUUGACAUUGUUUGAUGAUUUUAUAAUAUUGGUUUCUUAUUUGAUUCGGAAAUAGUAUAAUUGAUCUGUGAUACUUUUUAACUAAUCAAAAAUCAAAGAUAUUUUAUAUGUUUUUUGUUUGCUCUUGAAAUAAACUAAAUAAUCAUGGUAUCUGGUUUAGUGUAGAUGAAGGCUAUAAAUACACACUUGAUUCUCCAGAAUUGCUUAUAUUCUUCUUAUGUUGAUACUUGAUAUGCCUAAAAUGCCCUGAAUCUGAUGUUUGGACUAACGUAUAUUUAUGGUUGAGUGAUUUGUAGCUGUUUUAGUGAAAACAUGGUAAUGGUUACAAUUUUGAAACAUCCAGUUUGAAAUAUUGUAAGAGACUUUUGGUUUUAUUUUUUAGACCUUUUUGUUGAUUUCUCCAAUUCUAUAUUCAAGAGAACAAAAAAUCUAAAAAAAAAAACCUUGUUUGCUUUAUUGUGUAAAGGCGGAUUGCUUUGUAAACUUACCUUUUAAUUUCCUUUCCUUAUCCGUCAUAGGAAUGUAAUUUCAUUUUCAAGACCUAUUAAUGUACUUUUAUAUCAAUGUACUUUUAUCGCCUUAACAAUAACAACAUCAAUGCUUAUUUACUGGUAAUAGUCACAUAACUGGAAUUCCUUACCUUUAAUAGUGAUGUACUUACAUUUGACAAUCCAAAAGAAAUACCUAAUCUACCC